GAUGAACGCUGGCGGCGUGCCUAAUACAUGCAAGUCGAGCGAACAGACGAGGAGCUUGCUCCUCUGACGUUAGCGGCGGACGGGUGAGUAACACGUGGAUAACCUACCUAUAAGACUGGGAUAACUUCGGGAAACCGGAGCUAAUACCGGAUAACAUGUUGAACCGCAUGGUUCAACAGUGAAAGACGGUCUUUCUGUCACUUAUAGAUGGAUCCGCGCCGCAUUAGCUAGUUGGUAAGGUAACGGCUUACCAAGGCAACGAUGCGUAGCCGACCUGAGAGGGUGAUCGGCCACACUGGAACUGAGACACGGUCCAGACUCCUACGGGAGGCAGCAGUAGGGAAUCUUCCGCAAUGGGCGAAAGCCUGACGGAGCAACGCCGCGUGAGUGAAGAAGGUCUUCGGAUCGUAAAACUCUGUUAUUAGGGAAGAACAAAUGUGUAAGUAACUAUGCACGUCUUGACGGUACCUAAUCAGAAAGCCACGGCUAACUACGUG
rnacentral:rRNA from 1 species